rnacentral:rRNA from 1 species
CUGCAACUCGACUGCACGAAGCUGGAAUCGCUGUAAUCGCGGAUCAGCACGCCGCGGUGAAUACGUUCCCGGGCCUUGUACACACCGCCCGUCACACCAUGGAAGUCUGCAAUGCCCGAAGCCGGUGGCCUAACCACUUAUGUGGAAGGAGCCGUCUAAGGCAGGGCAGAUGACUGGGGUGAAGUCGUAACAAGGUAUC